rnacentral:rRNA from 1 species
AGCGAACGCUGGCGGCAGGCCUAACACAUGCAAGUCGAACGAACCUUUCGGGGUUAGUGGCGGACGGGUGAGUAACACGUGGGAACGUGCCUUUAGGUUCGGAAUAACUCAGGGAAACUUGUGCUAAUACCGAAUGUGCCCUUCGGGGGAAAGAUUUAUCGCCUUUAGAGCGUCCCGCGUCUGAUUAGCCAGUUGGUUGAGGUAAUGGCUCACCAAGGCGACGAUCAGUAGCUGGUCUGAGAGGAUGGUCAGCCACAUUGGGACUGAGACACGGCCCAAACUCCUACGGGAGGCAGCAGUGGGGAAUCUUGCGCGAUGGGCGAAAGCCUGACGCAGCCAUGCCGCGUGAAUGAUGAAGGUCUUAGGAUUGUAAAAUUCUUUCGCCGGGGACGGUAAUGACGGUACCCGGAGAAGAAGCCCCGGCUAACUUCGUG